rnacentral:rRNA from 1 species
UACAGAGGGUGCGAGCGUUGUCCGGAAUCACUGGGCGUAAAGGGCGCGUAGGCGGCUCGGUAAGGUUGCGGUGAAAGCCCGGGGCUCAACCCCGGGUCGGCCGUGGCAACUGCUGAGCUGGAGCACUGUAGAGGCAGGUGGAAUUCCGGGUGUAGCGGUGGAAUGCGUAGAGAUCCGGAAGAACACCGGUGGCGAAGGCGGCCUGCUGGGCAGUGGCUGACGCUGAGGCGCGACAGCGUGGGGAGCAACAGG